GCAUUGGUAGUUUGGUGGUAGAAUUCUCACCUUCCAUGUGGGAGACCAAGGUUCAAUUCCCGGCCAAUGUA
rnacentral:tRNA from 1 species